ensembl:lncRNA
CCUGUAUUCCCAGUCAUGUGAAAUCCAUAGAUUAAGGCCUCAUAUGAAUUGUAACUCAGUAAAAUCAAUGAAAUUGUUGCAUGUUGUGUUUUAUAUUUUUGUUCAGAAUGUCAGUUGGAGAUUUUGAGUGCAGUAUUUGGUCAUUUACAUGCAUAUGUUUAUACGUGUAUUUUGUUUAAUACAGUAUACGAGGAGAUCUAUAUGUCAGGGUGAGAGGUGAUGGUGUGUGUAUAGAGUACAUCUAUAUGUCAGGGUGAGAGGUGAUGGUGUGUAUAUGUAGAGUAGAUCUAUAUGUCAGGGUGAGAGGUCGCCAGACAGACGCACGGACCGACAAACAGGGCUGACAGACAUCAGCCUCUGAAAGCCCUCGCGGGUCUAGCCUGCGACCCCUCUCACUCAUUACGUGCUCUGUGACCCUCCUGCGGGGAGGUUGCCC